rnacentral:rRNA from 1 species
GGCGAACGCUGGCGGCGUGCUUAACACAUGCAAGUCGAACGGAAAGGCCCUUCGGGGUACUCGAGUGGCGAACGGGUGAGUAACACGUGGGUGAUCUGCCCUGCACUUUGGGAUAAGCCUGGGAAACUGGGUCUAAUACCGAAUAGGACCACGCGCUUCAUGGUGUGUGGUGGAAAGCUUUUGCGGUGUGGAUGGGCCCGCGGCCUAUCAGCUUGUUGGUGGGGUAAUGGCCUACCAAGGCGACGACGGGUAGCCGGCCUGAGAGGGUGACCGGCCACACUGGGACUGAGAUACGGCCCAGACUCCUACGGGAGGCAGCAGUGGGGAAUAUUGCACAAUGGGCGCAAGCCUGAUGCAGCGACGCCGCGUGAGGGAUGACGGCCUUCGGGUUGUAAACCUCUUUCAAUAGGGACGAAGCGCAAGUGACGGUACCUAUAGAAGAAGCACCGGCCAACUACGUG